AGAAUGAGGAUAUUGGAACCCGGGAGCCUUUUAUAACUGGGACCCAGACCCCUGUGAAAGGGGUCCCAGUUGACUGAUGCCAGUAUUUCUGAGGGGCUGCUUCCAGGAAAGUGAAAAAUGACUGCUGGUGAGGCAAAAAACCAUGACUGGAAUGAUGCUGACAGUACCGGGAAUUGAACAGGACAAAGAGAGUCUCUUCUCCCUCAUCCAGCCUUGGACUCUCCUUCUCACCUGCCAACCAAGAGCCACAGACAAAGCAGAGUCUGGGUUUGCAGAGUCCCAGUCUUAGUACCACAGGGCAAGUGAGAGCUUUUGAAACAGAAAGUGCUUAAUUACCGGUUUAAUGGCCUUACAUAAAUGACAUAACAUCUCUCAGUCUCAGUUCCUCUGCCUGUAUAAUGGGGAGCAAUGCCUCCACUUGAGGUUCUUGUAAGGGUUAAAGGAGUGAUGGAUACAGAUUGCCCCAUAAGUGCGUUGACCGUAGCUUCAGAUCUGGCUGUGUCCCGGACAUCCUGCCUUCAGCCUCAGUCCAGGAGCCAGAGGGUGACAAGGAAAGGGAGAAGGAAAGAUGGAGAGAGGAGAGAAGAAAGAAGAUGAAAAAAGAAGGGGAAGGGGGGGGGAGAUGGGCAGAAUGUGACAGGGACCCUGAGCACAUGUAGCCACUUGGAAGGGGGCUUACCACCACCAGAGAGAAGCCAAAACCCUGUGGACUAGCCCCAGACUCUUGGGGAAGACUUUCCUGCUUGGAACAAGAGCUUAAUGAUUCCUGGAGGAGUGUUAUGAUUUCUGCAAAAUCACCCAAAGCAAUAAGAGUGGCUGGAGGGAGUUUCUCUUGCAUCUGAACUGCUGGUAAAGAAAGAAGAGAAACAUCUCAACUAGAGAAAGGACUGCCUUGGAGUCACGGCCAGGAAUGGUUUGGAACCGGCUGGCUCAUGAGCUCCCAGGGGCAGGCAGAGGGAUGAGUGGUGGCAUCAGAAUCCUGGCCUUACCCUAAGCCAUGGUAUUCUGUGCGUGUAUCAUCAACAUUUCCCACAUUCCUGACAGAACUAUAAAACCCCUCUCAAUAUCCUGUUCUCCUUGGUCAAACACAUUGAGUGAGCUGUUGGUGUUCUUUCCCCCGGAGAUGCCCCUCCUGGAACCCUCCAUCUCCCUGCUUCUAUGUGGACUGGCUGUUCCCCAAGUCUGCAGGGACAGCUGACAACUCGUGUCAUCCCUUGGCUUCUCUCCUGUGUGGGAUCCCGUUUCCUGGAUCUCAAUCUACCUUCCUCUUCAUUGAUUCACUCCCCUAUUCUGUGGGAGUGCAUCCUUCAGUGGCUUUCUGAGUAUGAAGAUAUGGGAGAUACAUUUUAAAAGACUUCAAUGUCUUUGUUGUACUUUUACACGUAAUUAACUUAUUAUACAACUCUAGGUUGAAAAUUUUUUUCUCUAAGAAUUUUUAAAGCAUUGCUCAUUGUCUUCCAGUUUCUGUGUUGCUGUUGACGAUAUUGAUUCCAUUCUUUAAAUAUGACUAUUUGACUGUGUUGCUGUUGACAGUACUGAUUCAAUUCUUUAAAUAUGACUAUUUUCUUUUUCUCCCUUAUCUUUCUUCCUUCCCCCAUUUACCCUUCCCUCUCUCCCUUCCUUCCUUCACCCAUCCUUCUUUUUUCUAAAAAAUUUCUAUAAUGUAUGGGGCAGAGGGUAUAUGGAAAUCUCUGUACCUUCCCCUCAGUGUGGCUGAGAACCUAAAACUGCUCUAAAAUAAUAAUAAAGUCUUUAAAAAAAAAAAACUCAAACAGGGUGGGGGAGGGAAUAUAUGGACACUUGUAAGAGCUUUACCCUUAGUAUUUAAAAUUUCAUGAUCUCAUGUUCUAGAUUGGUCUUUAUUACUUACUUUAUAGGCACUCCUUGCAAUUUUUUCCAGUUUGGAAAUGCCUAUCUUUCAGUUCUGAAAAUUUUUCUUGUAAGAUUUUCCCUUCAUUUCAUGUGUGGACAUAAGCUACCUAUUGCAUUCAUGCGUAUGUUAACAUCUGCCGCUGGAUGUAUUUGUUCUGCUUUCUGAGGUAUUUAUCUUCCAACUCCCCCCAGUGGAACAUUUAUUUUGCUGAUGAUAUUUUGAAGAGCUCUGGUAAUUCUCAGUAUCCUUAUGGUGAUCUUCUCCAGUUUUCUGAGUGUAAUAUUUUCUACCUCUUUGAGAAUAUUAACAAUAGAUUUUUUUUCUAAAGUUUUUUUUUUUUAACUCCCCGCAUUAUCCCUGUUUUUUCCAAGAAUAUGGAGUUAAACAAAAAAAGGUAAGUAAGUCCCUCUUCCUUCCUUGUCUUUAAUCACUCUCCUCUUCAGAGUUACCCAUAGUUUAGUUUGUUGGAUGUCCCUCUAAGGUCCUUUUUUCAUGCGCUUAUUUACAUUUAAACAUACACAUACAGUUACAUACUUUGUCUUUUUGCAUGCUAUACUAAUGUGCUGCAUUAUAUGCCUUUGUUUUCAUACUUAACAACAAAUGCUGAAGAUCUUUUAAUGUCUCUACACCUAAACCACUUAUUAUUUUUAAUUGCUGCAUACUAUGCCACAGUAAGAUUGUGCCAGUAUUCAUCUGACAUUUAGAUCAUACUACGCAUUUCUCUUCACAUAAAUACUGUUAAGUCUUUUUUAAAAACAUGUUUCUAUUUCUGUAAGAUAAAUAUCUAGAAUAAAUGGCUGAGUUGAGUGAAUUUAUUCAAAAUUGACCUACACUGCUAAUGUAUAAUCCUAUAAAAAUUUAUUAAAGAGUCUGUUUCUUCACAGUCUUACAAACACUGGCUAUUAUCAAUUGUUUUGACGUUUGCCAGUUUGGUUGGCUGAUUUGUCAAUAGGUAAAAAAAUUUUUUAAAGCAUAUGUUUGGUUACUUUGUUACUGGUGAAGCUGAACAGCUAGCUUUUCAUGUGUUUAUUAACUGUUUUAUAGCAACUUAUUUUUCUGUGAAUUGCCCAACAAUAUUUUCCCUCAUAUUUCCACUGUUUUGUUUUGAUUUUCUUAUUGAUUUAUAAAUAAGAAGCUCUUGUAUGUUAUAGAUGCCAAUUAUUUGUUUUAAAAGUAGCAGAUAUUUCUCCCUAUGUCUCUCUUUACAUUUAGGUGACAUCUAUUUUGAGGUACUAUACUGAAAAGUUGUUAAAAUUCUUUUCAAAUUUAUCAACUUUGUUUUUUGUAACUUGUAAGAAUUAUGUUAUUUUAGGAAAACUUCCCCAACCCCAAGUUUAUAAAUACCUUUUUAUAGUUUUUUAGUGUUUAAUUCACUUAAACAUGUUUAAUUUUAAUGUUUAAUUCACUUAUUUUUAUGAAUGAUAUAAAGUUGAUAUCUAUAAUUUUAUUUUUUUAAAAGAAACAGCUAAUUUUUCUGGUGCUAACUACUGAAUAAUCUACCCUUGCUCCUAUAAUUUGAAAUGCCAUCUAUUUCAUAUACUAUGUUCCUUUUUUAUAUUUGGUCCACUUUAGGCCUAUUACACUGUUCUAAAUCAGGGAUUGGCAAACCAUAGCUCAGUAGGCUAAAUCCAGCCUGCUGCCUGUAUCUAAAGUUUUAUUGGAAGACAGCCAUGCUCAUUUGUUCACAUAUUGUCUGUGGCUGCUUUCACACUACAAUGGAAGAGUUGAAUAGUUGCAACAGAGACCAUUUGGCCCACAAAGCCUAAAAUAUUAUUUGGCCCUUUACAGAAAAAAAAGUUGCCAAUACUUGCAUCAGUAUUAUCAAUAACAGGAACUCCACAGUAUGUUUGGCAGAUGGAAAAGUAAAUAUGUUCUCCCUGGGUCCAUACUUCAAAAAAUUCUUAGCUAUUCUUGGUAAGUAUCUUUGGGUGAAUUUUGUAAUUAAUUGACUACUGAUACAGUUGGGUUUAAAUGUAUCAAAUUUCUGUUUUUUACUUGUGCUAGUAGUCCUUUCUUCCUUUUCUCCUUGUUGUCUGCUUUCUUUGAGGUUUAGUAAUUUUAUUAUUCUCUUAUGAUACUACUUUUAGUGCUUGCUUUAGAGUUUAUAGGAUAUGCCUUUAGUCUAUCAUAAUCUAUACUUCAAAUACAGUAUAAGAAACUUAUAGCAGUAUACUUUCAUUUUUUCUUUCCUGAUCUUUUUGCUAUUAUGGCCACACAAUUUACUUUUUACCUGUUUUAAACUGCGUAAACACUGUUUUUACUUUUGCUUUAAAUGGUCAAUUAUUUUUAAAAUUUUCAAUUUCAAUUAUCUUUUGGAUCUAAAGUAUGAAAAAAAGAUGUGUUUUAUAUUCACCCAUAUCUUUACUGUUUCUGGGACUUUCUAUUCUUUGUGCAGAUACAAUUUUUCAUCUAAUGUUUUCUUUUUGCCAGUAAGACUUGUAUUAACAUUUCUUGUGCAGAUCUGCUGGUGUUGAAUUCUUUCAGAUUCUGCAUGCCUGAAAAAGUUUUUUUUUAAAUCUCAUCUUUGUUUUUGAAAGAGACUUUUGCUGGGUAUAGAAUUAUAAGUUGACAGUACUUUUCUUUCAAAAUUAAAAAGGCUUGCUCGUUAUGCUUUGUUAGGCAUGACCGGAACCACCUUUAAUCUUAGAAAAUACCCUUGUAUUACAUGGUUGUUUCAGUCUAGCUGAUGGGAACACAAACUAUUUCUGGCCCCAUGCAUGCUCUAGUGACAGUUUUGCCCUUUGCUGGUGGGUUUCUCUUCAGCCCCAGGCAUCUUCCUCACCUAUACAUGCUCAUCAGUGCUCAGAUGAAGACCUGAGGGUCCCUUUCUCUAGCUCUCCAGAGCAUGCUUUUUCCUUCCCCUCCUGCUCUGUGAGGCUCUCUCUUCUCUGGUACUCUGUCCCCUGGACUCUAGCUACCUUGGCCUCCCCAAUUCUCCACUCUGCCUUCUCAGUCAGGAGACCACUCCUUCCUCAUGGUGGCCUGGAAACAGGCAGUGAACUGGCUCACCUGUUUCUCUCCUUUUGGAGUUUACUCUCCUGCACUAACCAUGGAUGCAUGUCUAAAAAACAUUUUAAUGCCUAUUUUUGAGUUUUUUACCUGUUUAAGGUGAGAGAGUAAAACUGGUUCCAAUUAAUCCAUCAUGAUUAAGAUGUUUCCUUAGGGAUUUUGAUUAAAAUUUAUGGGAAAAAUUGAUAUUUACAUCAAGUCUUUCCUUUUAGGAACAUGGCAUAUUAACUGUAAUAUAUUAACAAUGAUAUAUUAAUUUACUUUGGCCUCCUUUAAAUGUCUCCAGUAGAUCUUAUGGUCUUCCACAUUGAUACUGAGGUUGCAUUUAAAGGUCCCAAUAUAGGCCUAUCUUCUCUCUUAUAGCACCUUGUUCAGACCCUGAAGCAAUUAAGGGAUAGAGUCUAAGAAGACUCUGGAGCUUCAGAGUUGCUGAGAAGCUCAUACGAUGAUCCUUUUCCUCUCAUCUCUGUAGAUGAAGAGGAGAAGAGGGCCUGGUGACCUGAUCUUAGGUGUUAGCUUCAUUUCAGCUGACUCUUUCACGAUGGCAGGACUGGGCUGAGCAGCUCUGCACUGGAGGCUGGGAUGUGGAUGAGAAAACACAAGAAGCCCUCAAAGAACCCUAGGGUAGAAACUGGCUUAGAGCUGCUCCAUUUUGGCAUGGCUUCUGGAAGCCUGCUUCUACUUUAAUGUAUAGUUGGGCAUGAAUGGACCCUGAGAAGACCUGAAGACUGAACUCAUGGUCUAUUGGGUAGUAUCAUCUUCCUCUGGUGGUGGAGUCACUCCACCAAACUUAUUUAUAAGCUGGGCCUCUUCUUUGAUAGAUGGUUACUAAUGAGUGGAAAACAAUCAUCUCUAAUAAUACCUCUGGGAUAAACAUGCAUUUGCACACUAGUUAUGGAAGUGUUGGGGAUGUGUAUUCUAAAUAGCCAACAACCAAUUUAGAAGCAAAGCUGGAACAUCAUUCCUUCCUAAGCUGGGAACUGUCUAUUCCUAUGAAAUCCAUCUCUUUCCAUAAUGACAGUAAUAAAACCAGAGACCUUAACUGUCUACAGUUGACACCAAAUGGGUAAACACCCAACCUAAGCAAUUAGUUGGUUAAUUACACCUGUGCCAUGUUUAUGGCCCUUCAGUUAAUCUCUUGAGAGUGUAGAACUCCAUCAUGUACAAUGGCUCAUAGCAUCUAAGCAGGACUUUUCAGAGCUCAGGCUCCCCCAUUAAUUCAAAACAAGUGUCUUAGGAAUCAAAGGGUUGGGUGGACUUUAGCUUACUAUUUUCAUUACACCUCUGUGUGGGGCUCAACUUGUAUAAAGCAUCAGAGAAAUAAGGAGGCCCAUAAAAGAGUGACAGGGAGGAGAAUUUAAAAUAUUUUACUGAUUCUCACAUAACUCCCACCCUCAUACUUAGCCAGUCAUACAUAUAUAACACCCAGGUCUCUAUAAUGUGGGUGUAUUCAGACUUUCUGAAAUGGUGAGUUCGGUGUCUCAACUUGAACAUUCAUUCACUCUCUGACAGCUAAAGAGAAACUGGCAAAAAGAGAACUGUCAUUCUCACAAAAUGCAAUAUACCCGGGCACUCUGGAGACCCAACUCAUCCCAAGUGUGGGUCAUGCUAGCUCAGGAGCAGAUAACUGGCUGGUCUAUGUUGCUUGGGCUCAUCACCUCUGGACCACUGAGUUACAAACCUUAUACACACCAGCAUCAAAUGCAGAACUUUUAGUAGCAUAUGUCCACCCUAGCCCAAGUAAAUCAGCAGCUCUGGUCCAAGCCCCAGGUAUUGCAAUUUAAAGUUCUCCAGGUCAUUCUAACAUGCAGUCAGGGUUGGGGACUACUGCUGUGGAGAGGUUAAAACCAUUGUGCCAAUUUUCAGUGUAUUUAUGUAGAGUAAAUUUUAAUUUAUAUAUUAUAAAUAUAAUAAAAGCAGUAACCAACUCUUUAGUCCUCCCAAGGAUGUGGCUAAGUAUAGCAAAUUGGCUAUUUCUCCAUUCUCUAGUUUUGGAGGUGGUGACAACCGUGUCUGUGUGUGUGUGUGUGUGUGUGUGAGUGAGAGAGAGAGAGAGAGAGAGAGAGAGAGAGAGAGAGAGAGAGAGAGAGAGAGAGAGAGAGAGAGAGCCCUGCUAUUAUGCUUCCUACACGGCUCUUGAAUCUUUUUCCUCCCUGCUGCCACAUCCUCAGUUCAAAUCCUCAUCCAUCUCCAGUCUUGUUGCUCCCUCUCCACCUCUACCUGCACUGUUCCCAUUAUUUCUCUCAAACUCCAAACACAUCUGUCCUCUUAUACCCCCUUCAAUGGCUCCCUGCUGUCCACUGUGUCUACAUUUGGGCACCCAAAGCCUUUCCUGAGUAGGCUGGGAAGUCAUUUGUUACUUGAGCCAGAGGGUCCCUCACAGGUUCCUGAAUAGACUCUAUUGUCCCCAUCUUCUAAGCCCUGCCUGGACAGCUUGUACCUCAUCCCAUCAUGCCACAGGUCCCCAGUCAAGGCUCUUCUGAAUAAACCUCUGAUCUCCCCACCUCCCAUUCCCACCUCCUAGGUCCUCAUUGCCUUGCCAAAGAAACCUCUGAUUAGGCUGUAUGUAUGACUGGCAGAUAGAGGGUGCUCCAAUAGUGUAUCCACAAAUGCCACUUACUAUACUAUCAAAAUUGUAAGUCUUUCUUUCCUAUUAGAUUCUGAGCUUUCUCUAAGGACUGUGGGUAACAGGGUAUCUGUAGUGGAAAAAGCAGUAUUAGGAAAAAAAUUUAGGUUGAAAACUCUGCUUUAUCACCUACUAGCUACAGGAUCUGGGGCAAAAUGAAAUGUUUCCUCAGCUGCAAAAUGAAGGUGACACCACCUUGAAUGGUUGUGAGGAUCAGAUAUGAUGUGUGUAAUAUCAGACAUAGAGUAGGUGCCCAUUUACUUUCUCCUCUUACUUCCAACUUACAAUUUACCAGACACUAUGCAAACUUCAUGAGUAAUACAUUAGAAAUGCCUUGUUUUUUUGUUAAAUGAUUCCAAAUGACCAAAUGCCUCCUUUCUACACAAAUGUUUGUUAGAAAAUUUGAGAUCCUUCCUCUCUUCCACCCCUAGUUAUCAGGGGCCUAUUAUACCCAUUGAAUAUACCUUAUUCAAUUCUCGACAGGCCUUUGAGUUAUUCCUGUUGUAUAGACAAGAAAGCUGCAGCAAAGACAGGCAAAGCAAUGAAUUUUUUUUAGGGGAGCUCCUAAAAGCCUUUUCAGAAUCCUAUUGACUCUAGGCUCUAUGCUUUAUGCCAUGCCACCCUCACGUUUGGUCUUGUGAAUUCAUGCUUUUAAGUGCAUCCAUGCAUUUUUUUUUCUCUGAAAUUAAAACCAACACUCCAAUAAUGAUCUUUCAAUAGGUGAAAGUUAUUUUAAGAGAUGAAAACUAUGAUUUUGUUUUGUUUUUUAGGGCUGUACCUGCAGCAUAUGGAAGUUCCCAGGCUAGGAGAUGAA